CUGCACCACACAACUCCGCGUGCUGCUGACUCACAACCACAAGCAACGCUAGCACGCAUCUUGCCAGCCACCAGCUUCUGUGAGGUGAAGACAGAGCACGCCUGCAGCCUCACUCUGUGGCUCUCGGAUUCCAAGAAUUUCAACCAGCAACACACGCUCAGUGCACACAGCACGCUUUCAGCACAGCAUAGCACAGCAAUGGCCUUCCCUGUGCUUUUCUGGGCGACCACACGCUGACAGCUCUUCGAGGGGGCCAGGAGCUUUGAGGCCGCACCAUAUGCCAGCAAUCCGGAGUUCACUGAGGUCCAGGUCAGCAGAGCCUGGGAUUCCUUCAAGCUCCACAGGUCACAACUCCCCUCCAGAAAGACAGCAGGCUCCGUGGGUCCAUCUGCAAAGUAACUUUGACGUGACUCCUUGGUCAUGUGCGGCAACACCUGCAAUGCCAGCUCUCAGAGACACUAAGGCAAGAGGAUCAUGAGUUUGAUGCCAGUCUGUGAGUCUGAAGAGACCACUCUACAAGCUGACCACAUGACGUUCUUUGAACCCAAACACGACCAGACCCUUUGCCCUGGGGAUGGACUGAGAGAGCAGAGCUACAUCAGAUCACUGUCAGCGCACAAGUUCUGCUCAACAGCUGUGACCCUCCCAUACACAACCAGCGCAACCCAUCAGCAGCCUCCUACACAGCAUUCCAGGACACAGAACACACAGAUCACACAUACUGAAGUGUACGAAAGCUCAACCUAUAGCGAGAGAUGUGCAACAGACGCUCCACUGCACACACAGGGCUCAGCGGCCUCAGCAGGGUGGCAGCUCACCGGACAUGGUCACUCUCACCCACGAAGAAGUGACCCAAAGAUGUGCCUGUAAACCCUGAAGCUAACCACACAGCACCACUCCCAGGAAGAGAGAAAGGGUUCGUCACCUGUGUACUGCGUUUUUCAGACUUACACACAAGGUGACACCAGUUUGUACCUUUUCUAAGUGUGUUUCCCUACAAUCUGAGCCUGCCUUUCUUCAUGUCUGUGUACACGUGAACAGUAUUUUUUUUUUUUUGUCUGUCUGUCUGUCUUACAUGCGGGAUUGAAACCAGGCCUUCACAGGUUAGCUCUCGCUACCAGCUCUCUUUAAAACUGUCUUUGAGAUAAGGUCUCGCUAAAUGGUCCCACCCGGGCUGGACUGGCACCCUCCUGCCUCAGCUGCCCAGACUGCUGGGCUCACAGGAGGGAGCCACCACACCUGGGCAUUUUCAUGUUCUGGUACAAACAAAGCCAUGUCACUGGUUUGGUUUUUCUUUUCUUACUGUUUGUUUUUUUUUCUUAUUUGUUCUUGUGAGUGCAACAGUUUCUAGUUUUUUUGUUAUUAUCCUGUUCUGUCAUUUUUUCCUUUUCUUUCCUCCUGCCUGCUUCACCAAUUUCCCAAACUUUGCAUAAUCUUCCUAGUGCUCAGUCUUGCUUCUAAUAGCUUUCUCCUCUGUUUUACUACUUUCCCCCAGUCCCUUUUAAGUUUUUUCCCCUGACGGUAAAAUCACUACAUCAAGGUCAUAUUUUUUUUUGAGGUUUUAUUUAUUGUACAUGAUUUUCUGGUUUCUUUUAGAUUUUGUCAUGUAACCAGAAAUAUAGUUCACACAGUUAAAGGUAGCAAACUAACAAUACAGUUAGUCAUUUUCUGGGCUGUUUGAUGCUACAGUGAUUGCUCACUGUACUACUUUUGCCAACUGUGACAUAACUGUUCCAAUCAGCUGUUCUUCCUCCUGAGCUAAGACUGAGAUUAUCUAAGUAUCAUAAACAAUACUAUAGGCCAGUGCCAAAAACCAGGGGCCGUGCCGAAUAGGCAGCAACUUCUCAUCCCCAAUAACCCGAAGAGAUAGGAUCCUGCAACAGACUCAAGCCUAAAAGCCAGCUGCAACUGGAAGACACCUCUGAGAAGUAGUCAUUUCUUAAGAGUUCUAAACACCAGCAAUGAAGCUACCUGCUACAAGCAAUUUACAAGCAUCAACCCAGGAAUAAUUUAAUUCUUUUUAAUUUAAAAAAGCAAAAGGAAAAAAGAAAAAAAAUGAGAAGACACUUAACCAAGAUGCAACUCCACACUGCCAGCUCACCAAAGGCAAACCCUCAGGGAAAUGAGGUGGAACCAUCUGAGAGCCACCUACCUGGACGCUAACCUGGUUAACAGUGGAAGUAAAGAGGCAGACAAAUGAAGCUCUCGAGAAAUAUCAAAUCAGAGACUGAGGAAGUGAUUCAGUGGGAGAGAUCUUGCCUUGCAUUAACAAGACCCUGGGUUCAAUCCCCAGCACCACAAUAAAUCAGUAAACAAAUAAAUAAAUUUUUAAAAAUUAGAAAUAAUCUCUCAUAACUACAGAGCGGGUGAACAUAAUGAAAAAACAUGGUUAGUUACUCUUCAGCCAAUACAGAUAAAACAAAUAAGGAAAGAGAUGGAAUCCAUGAAAGUAUACACUGCAGAAUGAGCCAAUGUGAGCGCGGAAUAGCAGAUACAGAAGACAGGAUUGCAGCUGGUGACGAUGAAAAAAAGAUUUCUUAAAAUUAGCAGGGGAUCAUGAAAAAUCAGUCUAACAGCUGCCACAUGAUACAAAGAAUAACGUAAAAUCGACUGUAGUCCAUGAAAAAGCAGAAGAGUACAAACAACAUAAACCUAUUCACAAAAGACAUGGCAGGCGAGGUCAUGAAUUCGAACUCCAGUACCAAAAAAAAGGCCAUGGUAGAAAACUUCCCAAGUAAAGAAAAAGAAUUUGACAUGCAGAUAAGUAAGCAUAUAGAAUUCAAAUUAGCCAUCAUCAAAAAAGAAAAAACUAUACCGAAGAAUAUAAUAGUCAAGGUUCUAGAAAUUCAGCACAAGAACAAAAUAUUAAAAGCGGUUAGAUUCUGGGUGUGGUGGCGCAUGCCUGUAAUCCCAGCAUUUGGGAGAGUGAGGCAGGAGGUCUGCUGACAGUUUGAGGCCAGCCUAGACUACAAGUGCCUGUCUGGCAAGUGCGAGGCCAUGAGUUCAUUCCCAGUAUCAAAAAAACAAAAGCGAAACAAACAAACAACAACAAAAAAAAAAACUGGGGCUGGGGAUUUAGCUCAGCGGCAUAAGUACCUGCCUUGCUAGCAGGCAGGUCAUGAGUUCGAUCCCCGGUACCGAUAAAAAUGAAAAAAAGACAAAAAAAAAAAAAAAAAACUAAGGAAAGUUCAAGGCCAGCCUGAACUAUGUAUGUAGCAAGACUCUGUCUCAAAAAAUAAACAAAUCUAAAUAAAUAAAUAAAAAGGCUGUUAGAGAAAAGAAACAAAUCACAAAGGAGGGGGCUGGGGAUUUCGCUCAGUGGCAUAAGUGCCUGCCUGGCAAGCGUGAGAUCGUGAGUUCGAUCCCUGGUACGGCAAAAAAAAAAUCACAAAGAAAACCGCAUCAGAAUUACCACAGAUUUAUUUUGAUUAAUGAUACUGCUCUAUUCAAUAUUCUAUUUUGAUAAGUUCUAUAAUCUUCUGUAUGUCAUUUUAUUUUGCUAUACCUGAUUGAAAGAACAACUAUUGUGAUGAUAAUGAGAUACACUGUGGUACCUAUUACUGUUAUCCCGGUAACCUGCUGUGAAGUUCUGUACCAAUUUCACUACACUGUCUAAAUUCACUUUGUUCCAUCAUCUUCUGUUGUAUUUUACUACGUUCAAAAUAAUAAAAAAUUAAAAAUAAUAAUAAUAAUAAAUUUUUAAAAAAAGAAUCACUGCGGACUUCUCAACACAAAUCCUCAGGUCAAGGAAAGCUUGGAGUAAAGUAUCUCAAACUCUAAAAGAAAAUCUCCAAACCAGAUUGAUGUACCCCACAAAACUAUUUUUAAAAACUGAUGGGGAAAUAAGAUCCACAACAAAAAACACUUGAAGAAACUUAGGACCACCAAAGUAGCACUCAGAAAUGCUAUGAAGGACAUUCUACAAAGAGAUAAUGAGGACCACUCUAUGAACCCCAGAAGAAUGAAUCCACAGGAGAGCCAACCAAUUAAAUGGGAGGGGGAACAACAGGAAAAUAACAUGACAAGGGUAAGUCAACACACAUCAGUUGCAACCACCAACUAAAAGGUCUCAAUUCACCAAUCAAAAGAAACAGACUGGCAGAAUGGAUCAAGAAGCAAGAUCCAGUGGUGGUGCAUGCUUAUAAUCCUAGCACUCUGGAGGCCGAGGCAGGAAGAUCAUUGUGAGUUCAAAGUCAGCCUAGGUUCAUAGUGAUUUCAAGGCCAGUCUGAACUACAUAGCAACAUCCUGUCUCAAAAAACUUUUAAAAAUUAAAGAAAAUCGGGCCAGGGAUAUAGCUCAGCAGCACAGCACCUGCCUGGCAAGCAUAAGGCCGUUAGUUCAAUUCUCAGUGUAAAAAAAAAAAAAAAUUAAAAUUAAAAAAUUAAAGAAAAUAAAGCAAGAUUCAACCACAUGCUGCAUACAAGAAACACAUUUAAUCUAAAAAAAGAAAUUCAGACUAAAAGUCAAAGGAUGGAAAACACUGUAUGCAACAGAAACCUGGAAAAAAAGCAGGGGUUGCUACUUUAUUUGCAAAUGAAGUGGAUUUCAAGCCAAGACUGAUUAAGAGAGACAAAGAUGGUCACUACAUCCUUGUAAAUGUAACAAUCAAGAGGAAGAGAUAACAAUCAUGAAUAUAUAUGCACCAAAUAACCAGUGCACCCAACUCUAUAAAGCAAGUAUUAACAGGUAUGAAAAAUCAAAUAAGCACUAAUAUUAUAAUGGGGGAUUUCAAUUCCCCACUGCCACAAAUAGAUGAAGUAGAAAAGUCAAUGAAGAAAUAUGAAAACUGAACCAACUUUUGAACAAAUGGGCAUAGCAGAUGUUACAGGGUGUUCCACACCACAUCAGAAUAUGCAUUCUUCUCAGUUGCACAUGGGACAUUCUGUAAAACAGACCGCAUGCUAGAAUGUGCUUAAGUAAAUGCAAAGGAACCGAAAUUAUCCCAUGCACAUUAUCAGAUCAUAGUGCAACAAAAUUGGAAAUCAAUGGCAACAGAAACCACAAAUACAUGGAAAUUAAACAACGCACUCUUCAACAACCGUUAAGUCAUAGAUAAAACUAUUAAGAAGAAAUCAGACGGUCUCCACACCUAAACAACGCCAGUACAACAUACUGGAAAUAUGGGACACAGUGAAAACAGACCUAUGAGGGACAUUUAUAGCACUGAAUUACCACACCAGAAAAACAGAGCACGCUCAAAUAAACAACUUCAUGCUGAACUGCAAGCUUCUACAAAAUGAAGAGCAAGCCAAGCCCAAAGCCCAUCUGAGGGAGAAAACUGUCAAGAUCAGAGCAGAAAUUCACGCAAUAGAGACUAAGACUUAAGCAAUACUAAGAAUCGAUGAAUGGAAGAGCUGGCUUUUGAAAAUUUGAAUAAAACUGACAAACCAUGAGCCAACCUUUUCAAUAAAAUGAAAGAAAAGAAUCAAAUGCAUAUAAUUAGGAAUGAAAAGGGUGAAAUCACAAAAGAGUUGCAGAAAUUCAGAUCAUCAAUACCUACUUUGAGAACCUAUAUUCUAAUAAGAUGGAAAACACAGAAGAAAUGGACAGAUUCUUAGAUACAUAUGAGUUACCAAACCUGCUAUCACUCAAUGAAAACUAAAAAUUAUUUUAGUAAUUGAAAAUCUACUAACAAAGAAAAGUCCAGGUCUACACAGAUUAUGUGCUGGAUUCUACAGGAAAUUUAGAGAAAAACCUAAUGUCACUACUUCUCAAACUCUUCAAUGAAAUUGAAAGGGAAGCAAUCCUCCCAAAUUCACUGCUUAAAGCAAGCAUUACCCUGAUACCAAAGUCAGUAAAAGAGCCAACAAAAAAAGAACACUACAGAAUAAUCUCCCUAAUGAACACAGACAUCUUCAAUAAGAUAUUGGCAAACAAAUGCAACAAAGGACGCAACAUCAAGAAGUUUUGGGGGACUUUUUGGUUUUUG